CCUACGGGAGGCAGCAGUAGGGAAUAUCGGACAAUGGAGGUAAGUCUGAUCCAGCCAUGCCGCGUGAUAGAGGAAGUCCCUGUGGGUAGUAUAUAUCUUUUAUGAGGGAAGAAACACUCUUAUUGUUAGGAACUGGACGGUGCCAGAGGAAUAAGCACCGGCUAAGUCCGUGCCAGCAGCCGCGGUAAUACGGAGGGAGCAAGCGUUAUCUGGAUUCACUGGGUUUAAAGGGUGGGUAGGCGGGUUGAUAAGUCAGUGGAGAUAGGUCCGAGCUUAACUUGGAAACUGCCAUUGAUCCUGUCAGUCUUGAAUGUGGUAGAGGUAAGCGGAAUCUUGCAUGUAGCGGUGAAAUGGUUAGAUAUGUUACCGAACACCAAUUGGGAAGGCAGCUUAGUAUGCGAUGAUUGACGGUGAGGCAAGAAAGCGGGGCGAGCAAACAGGAUUAGAUACCUUGGUCGUCCCCGCCCUAAACGAUGAUUACUGGAGGUCGCCGAUACACGGUCAGCGUCUUAGCGAAAGCGAUAAGUAAGCCACCUGGGGAGUACGCCCGCAAGGGUGAAACUCAAAUGAAUUGACGG
rnacentral:rRNA from 1 species